AGUGAACGCUGGCGGUAGGCCUAACACAUGCAAGUCGAACGGCAGCACAGUAAGAGCUUGCUCUUACGGGUGGCGAGUGGCGGACGGGUGAGGAAUACAUCGGAAUCUACUUUUUCGUGGGGGAUAACGUAGGGAAACUUACGCUAAUACCGCAUACGACCUACGGGUGAAAGCAGGGGAUCUUCGGACCUUGCGCGAUUGAAUGAGCCGAUGUCGGAUUAGCUAGUUGGCGGGGUAAAGGCCCACCAAGGCGACGAUCCGUAGCUGGUCUGAGAGGAUGAUCAGCCACACUGGAACUGAGACACGGUCCAGACUCCUACGGGAGGCAGCAGUGGGGAAUAUUGGACAAUGGGCGCAAGCCUGAUCCAGCCAUACCGCGUGGGUGAAGAAGGCCUUCGGGUUGUAAAGCCCUUUUGUUGGGAAAGAAGAGCAGCAGGUUAAUACCCCGCUGUUUUGACGGUACCCAAAGAAUAAGCACCGGCUAACUUCGUG
rnacentral:rRNA from 1 species